rnacentral:misc_RNA from 1 species
ACCAAUAGCAACCACCACAUAAAUACCAUUAUGGUCCCUAAUUAUAAAACCAAAAUCAACAUUACAUUUCAAGGUUUGAAGUUGCAACAGAGACAGAAUCACUUCCCCUGACCUGCAAACGAUCGUUAAUCCAGCUUCUAACAUAAUGAACCCCAUGAUCAAUCACUUGUUGAGGGUGAAAUUGUUGUUGCUUCUAUAGGAACGAACUACUUUUAUUUGUAUCAAUUCAUUUAAUAAUUUCUCAACUAAAAUUUGCUAAAGAGCUCUCCUUUUUCCCUCUCAAGUUUCGUUUUCGUCUCUAAGAUUCAACCUUCGUUCUCUGCCAUGUAAAUUGGCUAUCCUUUGCCACUUCUAGAUAGGGAAUGUUUACUCACCUCACCCUUUACUAGCUCACCUAGAAAAUGGGUCUCUCCCUCCCCACCUUCAGGCGGGGCUAUAAAUAUUUUUUACUGUGAUUUUUGCCGGCAGAACC